AGUGAACGCUGGCGGUAGGCCUAACACAUGCAAGUCGAACGGCAGCACAGGAGAGCUUGCUCUCUGGGUGGCGAGUGGCGGACGGGUGAGGAAUACAUCGGAAUCUACUUUUUCGUGGGGGAUAACGUAGGGAAACUUACGCUAAUACCGCAUACGACCUACGGGUGAAAGCAGGGGACCUUCGGGCCUUGCGCGAUUGAAUGAGCCGAUAUCGGAUUAGCUAGUUGGCGGGGUAAAGGCCCACCAAGGCGACGAUCCGUAGCUGGUCUGAGAGGAUGAUCAGCCACACUGGAACUGAGACACGGUCCAGCCUCCUACGGGAGGCAGCAGUGGGGAAUAUUGGACAAUGGGCGCAAGCCUGAUCCAGCCAUACCGCGUGGGUGAAGAAGGCCUUCGGGUUGUAAAGCCCUUUUGUUGGGAAAGAAAUCCAGCUGGCUAGUACCCGGUUGGGAUGACGGUACCCAAAGAAUAAGCACCGGCUAACUUCGUGCCAGCAGCCGCCGUAA
rnacentral:rRNA from 1 species